GCGAGAAAUGCAAUUGAUGGAUCAUAUGGUAAUUCUAUUUUUAAUAUUUUAAGGAACCUCCAUAUGCUUUUCCCAGUGGCUGUGCCAGUUGACAUUCCCAAGAGUGCAUGAGGGUUUCUUCUGCAUAUCUUCACC